rnacentral:rRNA from 1 species
GAUGAACGCUGGCGGCGUGCUUAACACAUGCAAGUCGAACGGAAAGGCCCAAGCUUGCUUGGGUACUCGAGUGGCGAACGGGUGAGUAACACGUGGGUGAUCUGCCCUGCACUUCGGGAUAAGCCUGGGAAACUGGGUCUAAUACCGGAUAGGACCACGUCUUGGAUGUUGUGGUGGAAAGUUUUUUCGGUGUGGGAUGAGCUCGCGGCCUAUCAGCUUGUUGGUGGGGUAAUGGCCUACCAAGGCGUCGACGGGUAGCCGGCCUGAGAGGGUGUACGGCCACAUUGGGACUGAGAUACGGCCCAGACUCCUACGGGAGGCAGCAGUGGGGAAUAUUGCACAAUGGGCGCAAGCCUGAUGCAGCGACGCCGCGUGGGGGAUGACGGCCUUCGGGUUGUAAACUCCUGUCGCUAGGGACGAAGCGUUUUUGUGACGGUACCUGGAGAAGAAGCACAGGCUAACUACGUG